AAGAAAGAACCUUUCAUUUUAAAAAUACUGAAGUAAAAGUAAAUUGUAAGUAAAAGUUAAGAUUGUACUUAAUGUAAUGGUUUAAGAAAAUACUUAUAUCAAAAUAUAUUUAAAAAAGUAAAUUCAGUCUGUUCCACAUUGGACCUGCUUACACUAGUAUUUAAAUAUGCUGUAGGUUCUGAGUGUCAGUAUCGUCCAUCAAAUCAUGGUACAUUAUGUAAAAAGUUUAGCGAUGCAUUUUCACAUCAGAUGUUUUGCCUCAGUGAAACCAGCCUUGUUAUUCUUCCUGGGUACGAACUUUUGGCUAAACUUAUCACACAGAUUGCGUAAUUUGACUAGGACAAAUGCAAACCAAGCUGUUCACACUGAUAUCUUUUUUUUUUUUUGCAAGGGGGUGGGGGAGAAUUAACUGAGUGAGUAAAUAUUAAAUAAAAGUUAUUGGUUCACUUCUUUAUAACAGGAACACUCCCACAAGGAGAGGUUCAACUCAUGACCUAAAUGAUUGGUAUUUCAGGCUAAGUUCACAGUGACACCUGUUGCAGGGAAAGACACGUGCUACAUGAUUGAGUGUCAAGGUAUUGGGCUACAGAAUCAGUCAGUCGAUUCAUGAUAUAUAUAAGAAACGACCUUCAAAGUCUGGUGGACAGUGACAGAAAGAGCCAAAGAAUCCAGUUCCUCCAUUUUUGCAGUGGGAUGACCAGUGAAUGCCUAAAAGAAGGAAGAGCGGAUAGAGAGAAUUUGUUGAAUUCCAUGUGCAACUAGUAAUGAACAAAAAUUAUGCAAUCAGGCAUUUUAGAAGAGCAACCUACCAGAUACAAGCUUUAUCAAAAUAAAAAAUAUAUAAUUAUUUGAUAAUCCUUUAUUGCAUUAUAUCAUAUGGAGGCUGUAGUAUUAAUUUUCUAACUGUAGUAAGAUCACCAAUUCAUUCUAGAGGUUGAAACCAUUCCCCAUAUUUUAAUUUAUUGAAUAAGACUUCCAUAUGUUUUAAAUCGGGAAAAGUAGUUUGAUGCUGUAAAUGGUUUUAUUAAUUUAUUUAUCUUCUGAUGUGUAAAAAAUACUAUCAGAAAUAGCCCAGUAAUGCAUAAAUGUGGAAUUUCUUUUAUAGGAAGUAAGCAAGCUUUAUCACAAUAAAAAGAUAUACUUGAUAAUUUAUAAUGCACCAUAUCAUAUGAGGAGUCAUUAGUUAACAUGGAGGCUGUAGUAAUAAUUUUUUAACUACAUUAUAGAAGUUCAUCAAUUCAUUCUAGAGGUUGAAACCGUAUCCCCAUAUUUUCAUUUAUUCAAUUAUCAAUAGGACUUCCAUACAGCUAUGUGUUAAGUGACGAAAAGCAAGUUGAUGCUGUAAAUGGUUUUAUUUAAUGCUCUGUUGUGCUGUGUAAUAAAAUACUAUCAGAAAAUAAAAAUCAAACAAACGGUUCAGUAGUGCAAAA